GACGAACGCUGGCGGCGUGCUUAACACAUGCAAGUCGAACGCAAAGGCCCUGCUUUUGUGGGGUGCUCGAGUGGCGAACGGGUGAGUAACACGUGAGUAACCUGCCCUUGACUUUGGGAUAACUUCAGGAAACUGGGGCUAAUACCGGAUAGGAGCUCCUGCUGCAUGGUGGGGGUUGGAAAGUUUCGGCGGUUGGGGAUGGACUCGCGGCUUAUCAGCUUGUUGGUGGGGUAGUGGCUUACCAAGGCUUUGACGGGUAGCCGGCCUGAGAGGGUGACCGGCCACAUUGGGACUGAGAUACGGCCCAGACUCCUACGGGAGGCAGCAGUGGGGAAUAUUGCACAAUGGGCGGAAGCCUGAUGCAGCAACGCCGCGUGCGGGAUGACGGCCUUCGGGUUGUAAACCGCUUUCGCCUGUGACGAAGCGUGAGUGACGGUAAUGGGUAAAAAAGCACCGGCUAACUACGUG
rnacentral:rRNA from 1 species